GUCUACAGUCAUGCCACCCUGAACAAGCCCGAGCCCGUCUGAUCUCGGAAGCUAAGCAAGGUCGGGCCUGGUUAGUACUUGGAUGGGAGACCACCUGGGAAGACUGAGAACUAUGAGCA
rnacentral:rRNA from 1 species